AAUGUUAUUUCGUCACCUUGGUGAAAUGGCACACUACUGCCGUUAGAGGGCAGCAAAGAACAUUGCAGGAGAGAGCCGAAAACAACUGCAGAAGAAGAAAAAGAAAAUCUGGUGUAAAUGACGUCACAUUCCGGCGACACUCAAGCAAGCGGCAUUUACGAACGUACCGUGGCCGACAUUGUGGUUUAUUUUCACCAAAAAUGCUCAAAAAGAAGUCCACUGGCGGUGAAAAGAAAAGAAAACAUCCGCCGUUCGAGGAGCGGCGUCGAAGCAGUAAGCGUAGAAGCGCGGAAAGCAACAUAGUGGACGAGUUCGCCGACCCGGAGCUGGACAGGGUCGGCAGUGACAUCGAAGAAGGUGGGCUCGAUCUCGGGGUACCGUUCAAGCCCAUCAGCGCCUAUGUAGGCGACAAGAAGGGGAUGCUGGAGCAGUGCUUCGGCGUGCUGGGCGAGAAGAAACUACGCAGGAUGCUGCCCGAGCAAUUCAAGGAUUGUAAUUUAGAGGAUGUCCGAAAAGUGUGCUGGGAGCAACUGGAGCCGAUCUCUGAGAGAAACAUCAUGCAGAUCCUGUCUGGGGAAGAAGUGACCAAAGAAGACGACGGUAGCCAAAACGCACAACAACAGGCCCAGAAAAAAAAGAAAGACUGCAUUGUGGACUCAACGGCGUGUGUCAAAGAACCGGAAAAAACUGACAACCCCCAGCAAGGAGAGAGCCUCCAACCAGGCUUUGAGAAUUUUCUCCCAGCCCAUUUAAGCGUACGUGAUUGGCUCAUACUGUGGACCGAGGGACAGCGGCGGCGGACUUGCACUGUGUGCGUUUACGCUGAUCGCGGACGGAGCCGUCUUGAAUUACGGAUUGGCCACCUUCGAGCGUUGUACGUUUUCAUGACCUGGCGGCAGUUGAAGAUUGCGUUCAAUCUUUGGAUGCGGUUGGUGAACUCUCCAGGUGCGUGGGCGAAUGGAGGUUGUGCGGUUUUCUCCGCCGGCCUGUCGGUUUCACCAGCGAGCGCGCCGCUCGCUUGCUCCUCCAGCAAAGACACCCGCUGUUCUCGUCUUCAAACUUUGCCGUCGGCCCUGUAAUCAAUCACCCGCUGUCAAGACCGAGUCGUAUUGAUCCGGGCCAGUAGGGAUCGGCCGCUGUGUUCUAAGAUUUACGUUAGGAUCAAGCCAGAGACCGGAGUCCAAACCAACUGACCAAGUACAUCGUGGCCUGCUUGCCGGUCGGUCCCAAUGGGAUAUGGCGCCAGGAAGUCAGGUGCACUUGAGCCCGGGGGGACACAAGGCAAGCGGGCAUGGUCAGGAAGAUCUUUGGCAUUUCAUCCUUCCUCGGAGUUGACGCAACACGCCCCGACGUGACCGAUAGAACAGGAAGCAGGUGCAUUGGAAAAAAAAAUAACUCGCGAGUCAAACUGGGGGGCUCGCGUUGGCGUGUAUGUGCCCGCUUCGCAACCUGUAAAAAUACCAAUUUGACUUUCAUUUUGUUGAGUUUUUGACUCAUUUUUUUAAAUCUACAUACGGUCAAAAAAAUGCCGUGGAGAAGCUUUCCUGGCUUUUCCUGGAGAACUCAAAAGCAACAAUUCCAACCAAAAUGUCCCACAAAUAACCCAAAUUUCAUGGCGAUCAAGUGAAUUACUGGGAGGCGUUUGUUUAAGCACGACCCCCGAAAAUCAAACUCCCUGGGAAAAAAAAAAGUAAGUCCUCGAAAAAAAGAUGGGAGUUUAUCGAGACUCCUGGACCAAAAAGUGUUUUUUCAUUUAGCAAACUGGAAAAUUCGCCAUUUCGACUGCUCGAAACUGACGUAAAUCAACACCCCAGGAAAAAUGCUAGCGACCGUGGUGUGGGUGUGGGAGAUUUUCCAGCCCUCCGGGACCACAAAGUGGUUUUUUCUUUUGUUUUGUUUUCUGUUUUUAACAAUUUUAAAAAAUUAUGAUUUUGCAACAGCUGUGGACUUGGCUAAAAAUCGCGCUCCUGGAAAAAUGUUGUUUGUAAAAUGUGUCUGUUUUAUUUAAUUUUUUUUUAAAACAGCAAUGUAAUACCAAAAUGUCCAACUCCC